UCACUGCCUCUAGGUCAUUGGCUUCUUUCCACUCCCCUCACUCUUUCCUGCUUCUCUUAUAAAACCGUGAACUUCUUGGGACAGCAACACCUACAUCAGGUAGAUGUCAGGUGUCACUCACCUACCUCAGUGCACAGUGAACAACUGGUCUACCACUUCCUUGCCUAAGCUUUGACUCUCGUCUCAGAAUUUGAAUUCAGAAGCCCUUGAAAUUUAAGUGAAUUCAUGUGAGGAUGGCCUUGCUGCACAGUACAUGGUCCCCAGACUCAACUCCUGCUUGAACAACCAUCAUUCUUAGAAAUAAACAUAAAAGCAAUUUUCA
rnacentral:lncRNA from 12 species